rnacentral:lncRNA from 1 species
GUUGUUUCUCAUAGGGGAAAAAGAUACAAACUAAAGUUUUCAGCAGGUUGAAUACAGUGUGAUGUACUCACAUGCACGAUGCCUUGCAGCCACAAAAAUCAUGUUAUAGAAGAGCAGUUGUUGACUGGGACAGAUGUUUGUGAAUAUAUGAUUGGAAGAAAAAAAACAAGUUUUAGAACAUUAUGUAUUGAAUCAGCCCCUCUUUCCACAGUAUGUGCUUGGUCCAAAGCCUGGAAGGAUGUUCAAAGCCUGGAAGUGCAGAUGUUAAUGGGUGUUUCAUUAGCAGGGUUGAUUACAGCUUGCAGAGACCGAUUUAGGAAGCCCGUGGGCGUUUGGAAGCAGCUUGUGAGCGGAGCUGGAGGCCGGCUGAGAGCUGCGGAGAGUGAGUGCCCAGAGGAAGGCAAGGCAGAAAACAAAGAGAAGCCAGCAAGCACCCUUUCCUAUUUUUCUUUUUGCUUUGAUUUUUCAAAAAACAGUUCUCUGGAAAAUCCUUGUUUUGGUCGAAAUGCUUCCUCCUCUUCCAUCUCCUCCAGGCCUCCACAGAGGGCCCAAAUCUAAGCCUAGGAGGCCUGGAGCAGGGUUCUGGUCCCAAUGCUUCCAGUAACUCGCUGUGCAACCUUGCACUAGUUGUUCAUCAUCUCUGGGCCUCAGUUUCCU